GCUCUGGCGGCCGGGGCGGCUGCCGGCCUCCGCGGGCUCGCGGGGCGGGGAAGGGGGGGUCGGGCUGCAGGAGGAGGCGCCCGGACCCCGGAGCAGAGCCCGGACAAUACAAGCGCCUCGGAGCGACUCCCCGAACCUGCCCUAGCCAAAAUGGCGGCCGAGAAAGAGCGGAAGUGACUUGAAAAAGAAGAAACUGUUUCAAAUACUGGGACAACAGAGUUGAUAGAUGAUGAAGCACAACAUAAACUCAAUAACAAGAAAGAAGUAAUUAUCAGGGCUUCCCAGGUGGCGCUAAUGGGAAAGAACUGGCUUCCCAACGCAGGAGAUGAGGGUUCGAUCCCUGGGUCGCGAAGAUCUCUGGAAGAGGGCAUGGCAACCCCCUCCAAUAUUCUUGCCUAGAGAACCCCGUGCACAGAGGAGCCUGGUGGGCUAUGGCCCAUAGGGUCGCAAGGAGUCGGACACGACUGAAAUGACUGAGCAUGCCCACAUGCAUUCCAUCAAAGGUCAGAAGAAUCAACAUUUAAUGGAUAGAAGCAUACACACAGUAAUAUGAUAUAUUAACUAAUGCAUGGAGUCUGGACCUUAAAGUAGAUGAAGAGACAUUUUAGUUUCAGAAAUUAAAAUCCCAAGGACCUAGCAGGAGGCUUUGCACCAUUUAGACAAAAAGUUAUGUUCUGAAUGAACAGUUAGUGGUCACCUCAGGCCUCUCAAGGGCUGAGCGGUGAUA